UGGGGGAUAUUGCACAAUGGGCGAAAGCCUGAUGCAGCGACGCCGCGUGGGGGAUAAAGGCUUUCGGGUUGUAAACCUCUUUCGCUAUCGAACAAGGCCCGCUUAGGGUGGGUUGAGGGUAGGUGGAGAAGAAGCGCCGGCUAACUACGUGCCAGCAGCCGCGGUAAUACGUAGGGCGCGAGCGUUGUCCGGAAUUAUUGGGCGUAAAGGGCUUGUAGGCGGCUUGUUGCGCCUGCUGUGAAAACGCGGGGCUUAACUUCGCGCGUGCAGUGGGUACGGGCAGGCUUGAGUGUGGUAGGGGUGACUGGAAUUCCAGGUGUAGCGGUGGAAUGCGCAGAUAUCUGGAGGAACACCGAUGGCGAAGGCAGGUCACUGGGCCAUUACUGACGCUGAGGAGCGAAAGCAUGGGUAGCGAACAGG
rnacentral:rRNA from 2 species